AGUGAUUAAGAAGAAUACCUCUUAUAAGUAGAUUUACAAUCUACUGCCUAAAUU
rnacentral:tRNA from 1 species